CAGCUAUAUCAUGUUUAAACACUGAUUCUUGUAUGAUCACGGAAGUUAAGCAACAUCGAACCUAGUCAGUACCUAGAUGGGUGAUCGCUUAGGAAUACCAGGUGCUGUAA